rnacentral:rRNA from 1 species
GAACGGGUGAGUAAUAUAUCGGAACAUGUCCGGAAGUGGGGGAUAACGUAGCGAAAGUUACGCUAAUACCGCAUAUGCCCUGAGGGGGAAAGGAGGGGAUCGUAAGACCUUUCGCUUUCGGAGUGGCCGAUAUCAGAUUAGCUAGUUGGUGAGGUAAAGGCUCACCAAGGCGACGAUCUGUAGCGGGUCUGAGAGGAUGAUCCGCCACACUGGGACUGAGACACGGCCCAGACUCCUACGGGAGGCAGCAGUGGGGAAUUUUGGACAAUGGGGGCAACCCUGAUCCAGCCAUGCCGCGUGAGUGAAGAAGGCCUUCGGGUUGUAAAGCUCUUUCGGACAGAAAGAAAUCGUGCAGUCCAAUACACUGCAUGGAUGACGGUACUGUAAGAAGAAGCACCGGC